rnacentral:tRNA from 2 species
UGGCAAGUCUUCUUGGAAUCGAACCAAGGAUAGAAGUUUUGGAGACUUCCGUGUUACCACUACACUAAAGACUU